CAGUCAGGCACAUAGCAAGCACCAUUCAAGUCCUCAUGAAUUAAUUUUAUAUUAGGAAUCUCAGGCAGCAUGUACAGUCUUUUGUAAGAUCGUGUGAACGCUGCUCUUUUUACACACUUACAGAUUGAUUUUAUACAUGUAUCCAAAAUUGGUAAGAAACAGCAAUACUUACUGGUCAUAGUUGAUCAGUUUAGUAGAUGGCAUGAGGCCUUUGUGACAUCUAGGGAAG